rnacentral:vault_RNA from 1 species
CGGCUGGCUAAGCAGUGUGGAUACUUCGUAUAAUGUAAUUGGGAGCAUGCCAGAUUAAUAAUCUAGAAAUGUAGGUUCAAGUCCUACUGCGUCUAUUUCCACACGCGCCAUCCAGCCUUUUG